rnacentral:misc_RNA from 1 species
GGGAGCCUUAAUUUAGUGUCAAGUUUGAUGUCAACUUGGCAGACACAUCCAGGGUCGGAGCUGCCUCAGCAGCACUGGAAGGAAACCCUGAGCACAGAAUUCUUUUCAUGUUCUACCUCGACAAGAAGAUAGAGGAUUCUUGAUAGGCGUGUAGGAUCUCAGGAUGUGUUCAUUUCUCUUUUGCAGUUAUCCUUUCAUUUCUCUUUUGAACUACAUGUAUUUUCUAUGCAAAGCGCUGUCCUAGAUUCAUUACAUACCCACGAUGUGUUCAUUACAAAAUUACCCUUAGAAUUCUAGGACGCAUUCUGUCGAUGUAAGAACACUGCCUAUUACAACACAUACAGCAUAUAUAAAUCUCACAAUAACAACAAAACACUAAAAUCAUAUAACAUUGCCAUCCCAAAAUAAACCAUAACUGAGUUUUCCAUUGGCUGAACGAUAUAUAAAAAAAUAGUUGGCAUCAGGCACAACAGAUUUCAAUCUGAAUCUGAUGAGUCAUGGCUUUCACUUUGCCUCACACUCCUUCUGGCUUGUGUGCUAGAUUUAGAUGGAUUCAGAGAUGAUUCACCCUCAAAAGAGAUGACUUGAGCUUUAGCCAACCUGUCCUCUAAAUCCUCUGUGCUAAACUCAUCUGUCCCGCCGAGUUCAUCAAACCCCACCACAUAAUCAUCCACUUUGGCAUUCUUUAUAAGGGCAAGGGUUGGGAGAACAACAAUCUUGAGUCUCUCAGCCAAAAAUGGACUUUUCUCAGCAUGAAUUUUCACAAAACGUGUCUCUAUGUGUUGCUUUGCCAAUAUGCUCAAGUGCUUGUCCAUCACCUGCAAAUGAACUGUAAACAUGGAUUGCACCUACUAAAUUUCCUAGUCAUUUAUUGACAGUACAAACAUCUUUUGUAAGACUAUAUUUCAUUGCAUUUUCACAUAGCUAGAAAGUUGUUCUCUAGCAUAACCUGCCACCCAGUGUCCUGUCUCCAAGAGCACACUUGCAGGGCCAAUUCUCGCGAUAGAAAUGGCAAACGACACGGUCGCUGGCUUUUACAACGGAGAAGAAGUCCUUCUCAGAGGGGAUCUCAGAGUACUCGCCAUGGCCAACGGAGAUCCAACGGCUGCGCUUCUCCGCCAUUUUCUUCAUCUGCUGUAUACGCCUCUCUCUCAGAGCCUCCAGAUCGUCGACAUCAAGACGCUCAAGUGCGGCGAUCUCUUCAUCCAGCUUGUUCUCCACGACCUUCGCUACCGUAAGUACUUGCUUCUCUAUAAUCUCUUGAACUUUAGGGUUUUCCAUGGCUGGACUAGGGAAGAUCUUACUCUCCCUCUCUUAGCAGUUCAAACUUGAAAGGAAAUGGAAAACCCAGAGAGACACAGAUUUGAUUAGAGGAGCGGAUGCGGAGGGAGGGAACUGACAGAAACGACGCCGGUUUAUUCUGAGUUGUUU